rnacentral:tRNA from 2 species
GGGUCGGUACCCAAGCGGCCAAAGGGAGCAGACUGUAAAUCUGCCGGCUUAUGUCUACGAAGGUUCGAAUCCUUCCCGGCCCACAA